rnacentral:misc_RNA from 1 species
UACGUAGGGGGCAAGCGUUGUCCGGAAUUAUUGGGCGUAAAGGGCUCGUAGGCGGUCCGUCAAGUCGACUGUGAAAUCUCAGGGCUCAACCCUGAGCUUGCAGGCGAUACUGGCGGACUUGAGGCAGGUAGGGGAGAGUGGAAUUCCCGGUGUAGCGGUGAAAUGCGCAGAUAUCGGGAGGAACACCGGUAGCGAAGGCGGCUCUCUGGGCCUGACCUGACGCUGAGGAGCGAAAGCGUGGGUAGCAAACAGG